GAUGAACGCUGGCGGCGUGCCUAAUACAUGCAAGUAGAACGCUGAAGCUUGGUGCUUGCCCCGAGCGGAUGAGUUGCGAACGGGUGAGUAACGCGUAGGUAACCUGCCUGGUAGCGGGGGAUAACUAUUGGAAACGAUAGCUAAUACCGCAUAACAGUAGAUAUUGCAUGAUAUCUGCUUGAAAGGUGCAAAUGCAUCACUACCAGAUGGACCUGCGUUGUAUUAGCUAGUUGGUGAGGUAACGGCUCACCAAGGCGACGAUACAUAGCCGACCUGAGAGGGUGGUCGGCCACAAUGGGACUGAGAAACGGCCCAGACUCCUACGGGAGGGAGCAGGAGGGAAACUUCGGCAAUGGGGGGAAACCUGGACGAGGAACGCCGCGUGAGGGAAGAAGGGUUUCGGAUCGUAAAGGUCUGUUGUAAGAGAAGAACGAGUGUGAGGGUGGAAAGUUCACACUGUGACGGUAUCUUAACAGAAAGGGACGGCUAACUACGUG
rnacentral:rRNA from 1 species